AUACGAACUGCGCGAACGUUAUUCGGAAUCACUGGGCUUACAGGGUGCGUAGGCGGCGAAGAAAGUAGGGUGUGAAAUGCCUUGGCUCAACCAAGGCACUGCGCUCUAAACUCCUUUGCUUGAGUGAGUCAGGGGUACGCGGAACUUCCGGUGGAGCGGCGAAAUGUGUUGAUAUCGGAAGGAACACCGGUGGCGAAAGCGGCGUACUGGGGCUUAACUGACGCUGAGGCACGAAAGCCAGGGUAGCGAACGGGAUUAGAUACCCCGGUAGUCCUGGCUGUAAACGAUGAGCACUGGACGGGAGGGGCUUCGGCCUCUCCGGUCGUAGCGAAAGCGUUAAGUGCUCCGCCUGGGGAGUAUGGUCGCAAGGCUGAA
rnacentral:rRNA from 1 species